rnacentral:tRNA from 1 species
CGGGGUGUAGCGCAGCCUGGUAGCGCGCCUGCUUUGGGAGCAGGAUGUCGGGAGUUCGAAUCUCUUCACCCCGACCA